rnacentral:rRNA from 1 species
CUUGUCUUAAAGAUUAAGCCAUGCAAGUGUAAGUACGGCCCUUCCAUUGUGGGGGCGAGACUGCGGACGGCUCAUUAAAUCAGUUAUGAUUCCCAGGAGCCAGCGAAAUCUACUUGGAUAACUGUGGCAAUUCUAGAGCUAAUACAUGCUACUGAAGCUUCGCCGCUGCCUCCCUCGUGGAGGCGGCAGGAGCGCACUUGUUAGCCUCAAACCAAUCCGGCCGUCUCGGGUGUUCGUCCGCCUUCGGGCGUGGCGGCUCGGUGGCGCCGGUACCUUUGGUGAAUUCUGGACAACUUUGCCGAUCGCACGGCCUUCGUGCCGGCGACAUAUCUUUCAAGUGUCUGACCUAUCACACUAGAUGGUUUGCGCUCUGCGCACCAUGGUGACAACGGGUGACGGGGAAUCAGGGUUCGAUUCCGGAGAGGGAGCAUGAGAAACGGCUGCCACAUCCAAGGAAGGCAGCAGGCACGCAACUUACCCAAUGCCGAAACGGCGAGGUAGUGACGAAAAAUAACAAUACGGGACCCUCUUUACGAGUUCCCGCAAUUGAAAUGAGUACAUUCUAAAUCCUUUAACGAGGAUCAAUUGGAGGGCAAGUCUGGUGCCAGCAGCCGCGGUAAUUCCAGCUCCAAUAGCGUAUGUCAAAGUUGUUGCGGUUGAAAAGCUCGUAGUUGGAUCUCGAUGCUGGGCUGGCGGUGCGCCCGUUGUGGCGUGUCUACUGCCAGUGCCGGCGAUAAAAAGAGGCCGGCAGAUAUAUUCCCUUGGUGCUCUUGACUGAGUGGCUUGGGUGGCCGGAACGUUUACUGUGAAAAAAUUAGAGUGCUCAAGGCAGGCCUACGUGCCCGAAUACUGGUGCAUGGAAUAAUAGAGAAGGACCUCGGCGCCACGUUUGUUGGUUUACGGUGCUCGAGGUAAUGAUUAAGAGGGACUGCCGGGGGCCUACGUACUGCGGCGCGAGAGGUGAAAUUCUGUGACCGUCGCAGGACGAACGAAAGCGAAAGCAUUUGCCAAGAAUGUUUUCCUUAAUCAAGAACGAAAGU